UCCCCACGGAGCCGAAUCACCUCUAUGGCCCUGAAAUCCCCACCAAGAUGGUGGUGCCGACUAACCCCGCCUUGCUUCUCCGUUCAGGUUUCGGCGGACCCGGCCUGGCCGACGCCCGCGACUUGCCUCACAUCCACCAGAUGACGGAGUUCGAGCUUCUCGCCGUGACGCACGAUCUCCUCACCUCCACGCUCUUCCCCACACCCAGCUCCAUCCCUUCACCACGCGGGAGCACCAGAGCGCGGGGCACGAUGGUGCUGCUGGUGAACACGGCAGGGGCGGACUGAGCGAGGGCGCUAAACCGGCGGCUGGAAUAGGUAAUCGACGGCGCGUCCUGACUGGGAUCUCCUACUUUGCGCCACUGGGGAUCUCCUACUUCACCGCCCUAGAGCUCCUCGAGCUUUGCCUCCAACGUCCUCGUCUUCGGACACCAGGGCCUCGGCGCCGAGAUCGCAAAGAACCUUGUCCUUGCGGGUGAUAAUUCCGUAACUUUGCACAUGAUGGUAAUGUGUAGUCGUGGGACUUAUGAAGCAACUUCUUCAUCUCAGAGAAGGAUGUUGGGCAAAACAGUGCGCAAGCUUUUAUAUCAUCUGUUGUGAAAAUAUCAUCUGUUGAGUUCGAAUAAGGAGCUCAUAUACCUGUUUUAUGGUCCAAGUCCAGUGGUGUCUUUAUUGACCUGUAUCCUGUGAACACAGUCUGUUGUUAUGUAUGUGAUGAUGGAACUGCAAUGCUGAUUUUUGACGUGAGAUUCUUCAAACUGGACAAGUGAGGUGCUUUGAAGGCCAGGAGCCUCAGCUCGUGUACACACGCCAGGAGCCUAACACAGUGGCCUGCCUGUAAACUGUGCUACCUUUGCAAGAAUUUGAUUACCAGGCACCUGUGUGCCAUUGAUUUGCGAGGCGAGCAGCGGCCUGUGCCCUGGUGUUGAGGUUCAGCGAUUACAUGAGCUUUAGGAUAACGUGCUAAGAUUAACGGCCAGACAUAUGGAAGGAUGCAGUGAAUGGACACCAACGAGACUCCCUGCUGCAGAGUUUUCAAAAUAAACAUAUGCAUUCAACUAAAAUCAGGUUGAAACUAAUGACAGAAGUGUUUAGCACGGGUGGACUCUCCGACGAGACGGCAGCAGCAACGUACCUUGCUUGGUAGACGUUGGAGUUGUAGCGAGACGACAGCGACAAAGACGGCAGCAACAGAAAAUUGUUUUUCUGGUUGAAAUUGUAUCUCCGGUGGAAGUGUUUUUCUGGUUGAAAUUGUAUCUCCGGUGGAAGAGUUUAUCUGGGCGAAACUGUAUCUCCGGUGGAGGUAGUAUGGUUAUGCGGCCUGAUUUCGUGGUCGUCCAAAUUUGUUUCUGAAAUCGUAUUGUAGCAGAGUACGUAUCAUAGUCGUGGUCGUCCAAAUUUCCGUGG